rnacentral:rRNA from 1 species
CUUCGGGUGAAGGUGGCGGACGGGUGAGUAACGCGUAAAGAACUUGCCUUACAGACUGGGACAACAUUUGGAAACGAAUGCUAAUACCGGAUAUUAUGACUGAGUCGCAUGAUUUGGUUAUGAAAGCUAUAUGCGCUGUGAGAGAGCUUUGCGUCCCAUUAGUUAGUUGGUGAGGUAACGGCUCACCAAGACGAUGAUGGGUAGCCGGCCUGAGAGGGUGAACGGCCACAAGGGGACUGAGACACGGCCCUUACUCCUACGGGAGGCAGCAGUGGGGAAUAUUGGACAAUGGACCAAAAGUCUGAUCCAGCAAUUCUGUGUGCACGAUGAAGUUUUUCGGAAUGUAAAGUGCUUUCAGUUGGGAAGAAGUCAGUGACGGUACCAACAGAAGAAGCGACGGCUAAAUACGUGCCAGCAGCCGCGGUAAUACGUAUGUCGCAAGCGUUAUCCGGAUUUAUUGGGCGUAAAGCGCGUCUAGGCGGUUUAGUAAGUCUGAUGUGAAAAUGCGGGGCUCAACCCCGGUAUUGCGUUGAAACUGCUAAACUAGAGUACUGGAGAGGUAGGCGGAACUACAAGUGUAGAGGUGAAAUUCGUAGAUAUUUGUAGGAAUGCCGAUGGGGAAGCCAGCCUACUGGACCAGGAUACUGACGCUAAAAGCGCGAAAGCGUGGGUAGCAACCAGGAUUAGAUACCUGGUAGUCCACGCCGUAAACGAUGAU